rnacentral:piRNA from 2 species
UGUUGGAUAGCGACAAUUUACUGC